CGCCCACCCAAGUGACGUAGGUCCUGCUUCGCUUAGCCCAUGCCAUUUUGGAAGGCCUUACGUGGUGUCGUCUGUUUUCGCCUCGUGGAAAAACACUCACCUUUGCCGAGUGUCUUGCUUUACUUAAAACAAGUUUUUUUCUUAAAUACGAGAAUGGCGGAGGGGUACAUUCGGGUGGCGGAAGAGGAAAACGAGGAGCCCAUGGAGAUCCCGGCCGAGGACGACGGCACGGUUCUGCUGUCAACAGUAGCGGCUCAGUUUCCAGGGGCCUGCGGCCUGCGGUUCAGGAGCCCCGUGUCCCAGUGCAUGCGUGGAGUGCGUCUCGUGGAGGGGGUCCUGCACGCGCCAGAAAACGGAUGGGGGAACGUUGUAUACGUAGUGAACUACCCAAAAGAUAACAAAAGGAAAAUGGAUGAAAUUGAUGCCUCUUCGGCUGUGAAGAUGAAGAGGGGAGACAUGAAGACCUCUGACCUGAUUGUUCUGGGUCUGCCCUGGAAAACAACUGAACAGGACCUGAAAGACUACUUUAGCACAUUUGGAGAAGUUAUAAUGGUCCAGGUUAAACGAGAUGCUAAGACUGGUAACUCCAAAGGAUUUGGUUUUGUGAGAUUCACAGAGUACGAAGCUCAGGAAAAAGUGAUUUCCCAGCGCCACAUGAUUGAUGGAAGAUGGUGUGACUGCAAGCUUCCUAACUCGAAGGUGAAUAUGCAAGGUCCCGAUGAGCCACUGAGGAGCCGGAAAGUGUUUGUCGGACGCUGCACAGAGGACAUGACCACAGAUGACCUUCGACAGUUUUUCAUGCAGUAUGGAGAAGUCACAGACGUCUUUAUCCCCAAACCAUUCCGGGCUUUUGCCUUUGUGACAUUUGCAGAUGAUCAGGUCGCCCAGUCUCUCUGUGGAGAGGACCUUAUCAUCAAAGGAGUCAGUGUUCACAUCUCAAACGCUGAGCCCAAACAUGGCAAUAGGCAGUUUGACCGUACGGCCCGGUUUGGAAACGGUUUCGGGGCCCAGGCGUUCGGUAGCAACCGCAGUGGGUUGGGGAGCAGCGCUAACAGUAGUCUGGCUAACUUCGGGUCGUUUAGCCUGAACCCCGCCAUGAUGGCCGCUGCUCAGGCCGCUCUGCAGAGUAGUUGGGGCAUGAUGGGUAUGCUGGCGAGCCAGCAACAGACAUCCACCUCAGGCAGCAGCUCUAGUGGGACCAGUUCGAGCAGGGACCAGGGUCAGUCUUUCAGCACAGGCAACAGCAACUACGGCACCAGCUCCGCCAGUCUGGGCUGGGGCUCAGGGUCAAACUCUACGACCAGUGGCAGUGGGUUUAGCUCAGGGUUUGGGUCCAGCAUGGAGUCAAAGUCCUCUGGGUGGGGUAUGUAAGUUAAGUGUUUCUAUGGUAAGUAUUGUGAGAGAGAUGAGUUUUUUCAAAAGUUUAUUUCUGGUGUUGAUGCGUAUCUGAAAACUAAACACUUUGGUGAAAGACGUUUUGUACAUUUGGAGACAAAAAAAAAUGCUAAAGAUUUAAUUUAGGAACUGUUGAAGUGAAUUGUUUACCAGGAUCUCUGACUAAAGUGCUAUUUUUGCUGUCUUGUUUGUUUGUAUCCAUUUCAACUGGAUUCUCUAAUGCAUGUAUUGUGAAAUGUGAUGCCCAUUUAGAAAAUGCAUGAAUGUCUGCGGUUCACCAUUAUCCGGCUUUUGUCACCAUCGGCUUGAGAGGCAAUCUUGCAUUGGAAAGAAUCUGGUUGAAACUUAAAUGUCUUUUUUUUUUUUUUUUAAGUGCAACUUUAUUUGCAGUCAAGUUUUGUGGAAAAGCCUUCACUGAAAUCUCUUCUGCAGUUCACCUCUCUUCCAUUUCCCCGCGACGAAGCUCCUCUUUGGCAGUAUUCUUGGGGUGAUACCCGUAUCAUUCUCCCUCUUCCCACCUGUAAAUGCUAUGCCAUCAAAGAACGGCCUCACUCCGCAUGUUCUAAGAGACGGGACCUUGGGCUCUGCUGGUCGAGGUCUCCGUUUGAACCCUGACCUGAAGGAAGAAGAUGGAAGUUCCAACACUUUCAGUGUGUGGCCUUCUCAGACAUGACAUGGGGUAGUACCUGUCCUUUUGCUGCUUCUGUUGGCUUUUUAGAGCACAUUCCCAAUUCUAACCAUCAGCUUUGAAGGUUUGUGGUAAGUUAUUUUAACAAACACGCACCCAGUUAUCUGGCUUUUAUUAGUUUUCUCCUAAAAUGAUUCAAAGGAAAUAUAAAUAUUGCAUUUGGACAAUUUCUUUGUAGAGAUGCACCGAUCUGAGACGCAGUUGCUGAAUUUCGAUAAAUCUUUUUGAGCUCUGACCUACUGAUACUAAUACAGAUUUUUUUUCAGAAUCAAAUUUUUCUUUUACAUUUCAGAAUGACAAAUUAGUCUUUAUGUUUCUGAAUGUAAAGAAAAUUAAACUGUUUCUCCUAAGAGAUUUCUUUACCCCCAAAAAAGAAGCAACCUAAAUAAACGUGCCAUGAUAAAUGGCAUUAGUAGUUAUUGCAAUAAAUGUUAAAGUUUAUUGUUCACAAAAAUACAAUAUAAUUUUUUUUCUUUUUUUGGCAAGCUCCGUUGAAAUCAAAUUUCCAACCUAAUUAGAUUGUUGAAGUCAGAGCUCAGUCUUCGUGUCUCUGGUGUCCUGCAACUUUUAGACGUUCCCUCUAACAUCUGAUUCAAGUGGCUGAAUUGCUUUCUCAGCAUUCAUUCAACUUUGUUAUCCUGCUAAUGACCUAAAUCUUUAACCUGGGCAUGCAUCUAAAAGUUGUGUGACACUGGCCCUCAUGGACUGGAGUUUGAAGCUACUGGACUAAGUUGUUCAUUUGCUUGAUGUAUUGGGAAGUUUCACUCCCUCCAUCAUGUCUGUAGAAAGUGUUUUUCCCUUCUAUAAGGAUGAUAAAGCUUCACUCGCUCUGAACUUAAAAAAACAACAUUGAGAAUAGCUAACAGUCUUAGUGACAGCUUCCUCACAGAGGGAAGUUUUCUGUAUGACCUGUUGGUAAUUUUACUAAUCAGAAAAAAGAUCAGAUGUUGGUUUCAGAUCGUGAAAUAAGAGUAGUUAGCCAGUUUCUCGGUGCAUCUCUACUUUAUUGCUUUAUAAAUAUUGAGCUCUAUGCAUGGAUUAAAUUAAAAUUGUAAGCCAGUCGGUUUACUGUAAUUGCGGGUACUUUCCUUUUCGCCCCCUUGCCAGUUCUUCUGCAGUUUCGGUUGCUUUUAAACCUUCAAAUCUACAGAACGUAGUGACCAUGCAUCAGUUCCUACUCUCCUUGGGGAAACUUCCCAGCAGGGAAUAAUUUCCCUGCUGGGACGAAUAAAGUAAUUCUAUUCUAUAACUUCAUAGCUGCUUUUACAACUGGUAAACAGUUUCUUUUGUUUGUUUUCAGUGUUUUUCUUAAGGAAAUGUCAUUUCCUAUAAAUACUUACCUGCAUAGUGUUUUAUUUGAUCACGGAUCAAAAUUGCAUAUUGGAAUAACAAUUCAGACCCAGAUUUUUUAUAUAAAAAUUACAGAAAAUAUGAAGGUAAAUAAUAUGCAUUUAUGUAUUUAUUCUGGGUUUUAUUGUUAAACAGCUUAACCACCAUUUAAUAGGCUUUUGGGUGUGAAUCAGUCAGGACAAAAUAAUGAAGAGGCAAACUGCCUUGAAGCUUUAGUCGGUAUGUCAAACAGUAUUUUAGAGGAUUUAAUGGUAUGUUUAACAACCCAAACCAGGUAGAUGAACAUAGGAUUUAUUGGAGGCAGUAAAUGUUACAUGAACAGUUCUUUUAAGAUUUGGUUGCUCAUCAUUCAUCUCUUCAUGUCAACUAGACGCCUCCUGAGACGAGUUUAGCUUUAUAUCAGUCUUGUGCUGUAAAGUUCAUUAAAGCAGUUUGUUCUUGUCAAGCUCUUAUUUUUCUAUGCAUGUUGAGCACAAAGUCAGACACUGCCGGCUUCCCUGUGUCUUGUCCUCAUUCUCUGCUCUCCUCCUCGGUCUCUCUGCUCUUCCUCUUCACUGUACUCUUCUUUCUGGACUCUCGCUGCUCCUGGGCCAGUUCUUCACUUUUAUUUUGUAUGUGGUUGGACUAAAUAAAGGCAAAUGAAACAAUAAAAA